rnacentral:rRNA from 1 species
GUGACCUGCGGUAAGGAUCAUUA